ensembl:lncRNA
UGUGGGUCCUGUGGCGCAACAGCCUUGCCUUGUGGUCACCAAAGCCCUGGCUGACGCCGGGGCUCCUGCUGGGGGUUGUGCAAUCACUGGUUCUGAUAGGUGUGUGGUGAUGUGUGCGCCACCUGUUCGCUUCCUAGGCCUCCACGGUAGCCAGCUGUGGUGGCUUGCUGGUUCCAAACAACAGUCAGGACCCUCCAGUCCUUUGGGUAUCCGCCCACUCCUGGGUGCCCCUGAGAGGCAGGACUCAGGCAGGUUGCUCAGCCUCCGUCCUGAUCCCCACGUGCCUGUUUACUGUCAUCAGACAGGGGUGAGUCGCAGUGCCCCGUGCGUGGCCUGUGGCAGCAAAUGGGCAGGGUGUCUUGGUACUGUUUCAUCCUGACACCUGGCCCGUGACCUGUUGGGUGCUUAGGGUUCUGAUGACAAACCAGAGGGGACACAAGGCCAGGGCCUGCUGGUGAUGGCUCACCUGGCGUGGAAUUCUGUCCCUGCGCCCGGCACUUGCGGGCCGUAUGGCUGUGCCGGGCUGGGGAAGUGCACGCACUGACUGUUCUCCUGGAGCAGCACUUUUGGCCACUGGCUAAGAGUAGCUUAGCUGCCUGGCAGUGGCCCCAUCUGUGGGGAGAGGGGGGAGCUCCCCUGGGGGUCCUGUAGCACAGGUGGCGGGGUCCAGUUCUCUUCCUGCCCAGGCCACCCAAGGGCCACUGAGUGCUCCUGGACAGGGCUCAAUCCAUCAGGCAAGCAAGGCCACUGUGGCCCAUGAGGCCCCUGGCUCCUGGCCUUGUCCCCAACACUUCUUCCAUCACCAGGCAUCCUUGUGGUUUCUUUAUCUGCAGACUCCACUUGGAUGCCCAGCCCCAAGACUCCACCCACAGGAAGGAGCCUGUAUGCUCCUGCCUGAGCCUUUGCACCGCCCUGGACCCGGCCUGGAACAGGUUUCUCUCCACUGCUCACGAUUCAAGACUGGUCAGGACGGCACGACGGUUCCCUGAGGGUUAAGAUCGGACGUCGGGACGCCCGCGGCCCAGCAACGGGGACGAAGCGUGGAAGACCCAACGCGUGCUCGCCGCGGAGGACUGACUCACCCUGAAGCCUCGGGCGUGGUCUCGGCCUCUGCCGCACGAUUUAGUCCCACCCCCGUCCACGGCUGCGCAGCUCGGGAAUCCCCGCC